AGUGCUUGUGUAUGGCAUACUGACAAUCGCAUUGGCUUACUUGUCCCAGUAUUUGACUGGACCAGUUACACAGAUUGGACAGACAGCUUUCGGCGCAGCCGGUGGACCAGUUGUUGGCAUAUUUUUGCUGGGUUCUGUUUUUCCUCAGGCAAAUAAACAGGGAGCUCUUACUGGUGGAAUCUGUGGUGUUGUAAUAAAUAUGUGGAUUGCACUUGGAUCCUUCCUCUAUGGAAAUAAAGCUCCACUGUCAAAGCCAGUCACUAUAUCCGGAUGCACCAAUAAUAAAACAGCAUUUUCUGAGCCGAAUGUAACUCUGCCGACCAGCAGCUAUUACAGUUCAACAUCUGAUUUCUCUCUCAGUCCCCACUGGAAUGGAUCUAUAACCGAUGAUAUAGACAAGCAAGUAUUAUUCUCCAGUUACCGGUUAAGUAAUCAUUGUUAUAAAUUUGUUGCUAUGGAUGACUGCCACAGAAAUCGUAGAAAGAUUUUACUACAAGGAGUAACUGUUUUAUUGAUAUGUCAUUGCAAUAAUAUUACAUACGUGUAUGUUUUGUCUUUUUCAAUACACUGAAUCAUUUUUAUCAAAACAUAACUUCACAAAAGAUAUUUUGAGUGCAUGUACUUAGGUCCGAAACAUACUGAGUGGAGUAACCCAUACCGAUCACCGAUAUAGAACUUACGAUAUGUUUUAAUAAAUACUCAUAUCGGCAACAUUUCUGCAAAACCAUUAAAAUUACGUCAACGUUAAUUAGUUUGACGUCACACUUGCAACAUUCAAUUGAAUGACAUUAAACCUUAUUGAGUAGCGCUUGUUUCAUACUUACAGUUAAUAAAAUGCUUCUUGUAAAAUUGGCGAUUUCACAAGGUGCCUCGGCACACCCAAUAGAUUUUGUGCAGAAUACCGAAUAACUUCUUCAUAAAUUAUAUUCUGGAGAUGUUUUUGUUUCUUUGUUCUUGUUGGGUUUAUCGACGCACCGAUACAACUAUGCCAUGUGGCAAGUUUUUUUUAGCUUUUUAUUGAGAAAAUUAUUCUAGGCAGGAGUAAGUACCUGGUAAUAACCAAAGACCUUCCAAAAACAAGAGGACCAUGAUGGUCCUGAAUCGCUCACCUCUUCCCACAUGACCCAGUUUUGAGUAUGACGUCGUUUUUUCUAUUAUUUGACAUAGUGACCUAGUUUUCGAGCUCAUGUGAACCAGUUUUGAACUUGACCUAGAUAUUAUCAAGAUAAAAAUUCUGACCAAUUUUCAUGAAGAUCCAUUGAAAAAUAUGGUCUCUAGAGAGGUCACAAGGUUUUCUAUUAUUUGACCUAUUGACCUAGUUUUCAAAGGUACGUGACCCUGUUUUAAACUUUACCUAGAUAUCAUCAAGAUGAACAUUCUCACUAAUUUUCAUGAAGAUCUCAUGAAAAAUAUGGCCUCUAGAGAGGUCACAAGGUUUUUCUAUUUUUAUACCUACUGACCUAGUUUUUGACCGCAUGUGACCCAGUUUCAAAAGUAACCUAGAUAUCAUGAAGGUGAACAUUCAGAUCAAUUUUCAUGAAGAUCCAUUGAAAAAUAUGACCUCUAGAGAGGUCAAAAGAUUUUUCUAAUUUUAGACCUACUGACCUAGUUUUUGACCGCAGUUGACCCAGUUUCAAACUUGACCUAGAUAUCAUCAAGAUGAACAUUCAGACCAACUUUCAUACAG